rnacentral:rRNA from 1 species
GACGAACGCUGGCGGCGUGCUUAACACAUGCAAGUCGAGCGGUAAGGCCCUUUCGGGGGUACACGAGCGGCGAACGGGUGAGUAACACGUGGGUGACCUGCCCUCAGCUCUGGGAUAAGCCUGGGAAACUGGGUCUAAUACCGGAUAUGACUCCAUGACGCAUGUUGUGGGGUGGAAAGCCUUGUGCGGCUGAGGAUGGGCCCGCGGCCUAUCAGCUUGUUGGUGGGGUGANGGCCUACCAAGGCGACGACGGGUAGCCGGCCUGAGAGGGCGACCGGCCACACUGGGACUGAGACACGGCCCAGGCUCCUACGGGAGGCAGCAGUGGGGAAUCUUGCGCAAUGGGCGAGAGCCUGACGCAGCGACGCCG